AUUCCAGCUCCAAUAGCGUAUAUUAAAGUUGUUGCAGUUAAAAAGCUCGUAGUUGGAGUUCAGAUUGAGCUCGGCCGGUCGGCCUAAUUGGUCAGAACUGGUUGACUCUGUCUUGUUUGUGGAUCCCUCCGGAGUUAACUCUUCGGAUGUGGAGUCCACAUCGUUUACCUUGAAAAAAUUAGAGUGUUCAAAGCAGGCGUUUGCUUGAAUAUAUUAGCAUGGAAUAAUGGAAUAGGACGCUGGUUCUAUUUUGUUGGUUUUGAGAACCAGAGUAAUGAUUAAUAGGGACAGUUGGGGGCAUUCAUAUUUCAUUGUCAGAGGUGAAAUUCUUGGAUUUACGAAAGAUGAACUUCUGCGAAAGCAUUUGCCAAGGAUGUUUUCAUCA
rnacentral:rRNA from 1 species